rnacentral:lncRNA from 1 species
CCCCUCCCAGGCCCCUCCUGGAGCAUCUCCGUGUCCCACAGGAGGAUCUGGUGUGGGAUCCAGCCCCAUCCCGCCCGGAGAAUGCCCGAGCUCUCCCGUCCUGGCUCUGCCCGGAGCUUCCCGCAGCAUUCCCAGCCCGGAGGCACCAGGAGGGUCCUGGAACUGUCCCGUCCCAACAACACCAGCAGCCCCAGAAGGAUUUGAGAUCUCUCCAUUCCCAGGACCAUCCCGGCUAUGGGGUCGCCCUGCAGACCCUCCAGGCCCGGCUGGAGGAGCUGGAGAACCAGGUGCGGGCGCUGGAGCUGGAGCGGGCGCGGUGGCGGGGACAGGCCCUGCAGGAGCUCCCGGAGAGCUGCCCCAGGUAACGAACGGGGGCUCACCUGUGCUACCAGAUCCCUGCUCCUGCCCUGGGGCACCCCGGGAUGCGGGAUCACCCCAGGAUCACCCCAGGAGCACCCCAGGAUCACCCUAGGAACACCCCAGAUCCCUGAAUCACCCCAGGAACACCCCAGGAACACCCCAGGAUCACCCCAGGAACACCCCAGAUCCCUGAAUCACCACAGGAUCACCCCAGGAACACCCCAGACCCCAGGAUCACCCCUGAUCCCAUGAUCACCCCAGAAUCACCCUGGAUCUCCCCAGGGCACAGGAUCACCCCAGACCCCUGGAUCACCCCAGACCCCUGGAUCACCCCAGGGCACAGGAUCACCUGCAAGCCCAGGAUCACCCCAGAUUCCUGGAACACCCCAAAUCCCUGGAUCACCCCAGGAUCACCCCGGAUCCCUGAAUCAUCCCUGGGACAAUCCCAGAAUUCUGGAUAAUCCCAGAAUCACCCUGGGUAACCCCAGACACCAGGAUCGCUCCAAACCCCAGAAACACCCCAGAUCCCAGGAUCACCCA